CAAAGCAUCAGUGGGGCUCUUCUGUGUGAUUGAAGCUAAAUUGUGUGCUGGGGCAAGCACCCUCGCUUCUUGAGGUUAUGCUGAAAUUUCAUGUACUGCUGCUUCAGAGAGCUGCAGUUUGAGUCAACAGGAAAGUUCCCUGGCAGAAUGCACCUCUCAAUCAAUGUUGGACAGAAGCAUGCCCACCUUUGAAGCUGUAAACAUCCAGGAAGUCCAUCCAGAA
rnacentral:lncRNA from 1 species